UCUCUCUCUUAUUCUUUUCUGAAAACUCUCUCAUUCUCUCUCUUACUCUCGAACUCACGGCAACCACCAAGAACCACCACAAUCUUGUACCAACGUUCCAUUUAAGACCACCAUCGUGAUCCUGGGGAUUUCACGAGCACGGGGAUACCAAUUUCAGGCUAAAAAAAGAUCACAGCGAGUUUAGUAAGGUCCCAAGGAAGCUCGGAGUGCUUCGUUGGAAGUUUUUGGACGUAAGAACACGGAGAUCGACAAGUUCAAAGUUUGGCCGGAGCUUUCGAGGCGUUUUCCGGCGAAUCCCCGGCGAGUUAGGAGUUGAGUUUCCGGCGACCUCCGAGGCUUUCGAGGCAGUUUCCGGCCAAAACACGGCGAACUAGGUGUUGUGCAAGGCGGCGAUCGUCAUGACGCCUUGAUGUGUGGUGCUAGGGAGUUGUUGGACGAACUCCAGGUGAGUAUCAGGUUCAGGAAUCACAAAGGUGUGGUGACUACGAGGAAUUCGACGGUGUUCUGA
rnacentral:sRNA from 1 species